GAUGAGAUGUCAAUGUUGAGAGUUCCUCAGCAGAUGAUGAAGAUGAAGGACCAAUGAUGUGAAGGCCCAGAUCCAUCAGAGUAUCAAUGUUCUUCCUCUGUCUCCUCCCCUCUCACUGCAGACAUGAAACACUGGCUGAGAAACAUCCUGAUUCUGACUCUCUGUCUAGAGUGUAAAGGAGAAGACAGAGUGAUCCAGCCAACAGGAGAUGUCAUCGCUACUGAAGGACACACAGUUACACUUGGCUGUACAUUUGAGACCAGCAGAACUCCAUAUUUAUACUGGUACAAACAAGAAGCUAAAGAUCACCCAAAGUACAUGCUGAAGCGUUUGUCAAACACAGGAGAUAAUGCUCCAGAGUUCCAGAAAGACAGAUUUGAUGCAACACUCAACAAGACAUCAGUUCCUCUGAAGAUCCAGAAGCUUCAGCUGUCUGACUCUGCUGUGUACUACUGUGCUCUGCAGCCCACAGUGACAGGAAACACCAAAACUCUGUACAAAAACAUGAUGAGCAAAGACAACACAAUACUCCACAACAUCCACUAGAGGGAGUCACACACUGUUAGACUUCAGUAGUUUGUGAUGAAGCAGUUCAGAUUCUUUGUAGUGGUGAUAAAACUGGUCUUCUUAAAGUUAGCUUCAGAUUUUGCAGCUCAACCCCUGACCUAUAUUCUCAACCUCUCUCUAAGCUCUAAGGUAAUUCCAAAAACAUGGAAGUCAGCCUUUGUUCUCCCACUACUGAAAGAGAGGUCACGUAAUUAAACAAUUACAGGCCCAUUUCAAAGCUGUCAGUUCUCACAAAGGACCUCAAACAACUUGUCAGUGAACAAUUGAAGGCGUUUUUAUGUAACAAUACUAUUCUAUCCAAACAUCAGUCUGGCUUCAGAAAGCAACACAGCACCAUUCCUGCAACUAUGAAGGUGGUGAACAGUAUCACUGGCAUUUCUGACAUGAAGCAGUGCUGUGCAGCUCUAUUUAUUGACCCGUCCAAAGCCUUUGAUGAUGUUGACCAUCUUAUUUUAAAACAGAGGUUGACUAGUAUUGGUGUAUCUGACCAGGCCGUGGGCUGGUUUGUGAAUUGCCUCUCAGAAAGGUCUCAGUGUGUUCAGUUUGAUGGGCUCACCUCUAACAGGCUCAACACUUGUAACGGUGUACCCCAGGGUUCUGUGUUCGCUCCCCUCAUAUUUUCACUUUAUAUUAACAGUCUUGGUCAAAACGUGGAUGGUGCCAGUUUUCAUUUUUAUGCUGAUGACACGGUGGCACAUUGUGCUGGCUCAUCCAUCACAGAGGCUGUGGCCAAACUGCAGGCUGUCGUUAAUGUUAUCCAGAUUGAGCUUUCACAGCUAAAGCUGCUUUUAAAUGCUGAUAAAACUAAGAUCAUACAUUUCUGUAAUGCUGGGAAGAAGCCUGUGAACACUCCUGAUGUUCUUACUGCUCAGGGAAAGAAGUUAGAGGUCGUCACGUGUUAUAAAUAUCUCAGUAUUUGGCUCGAUGACUCCGUUUGUUUUAAACCUCAGGUUGAUGAUCUUCUUAAAAAGCUAACAUUGAAGUUUUAUUUCACAAACGAGUCCUGUUUCUCCUCUGAGGCCAGAAAGACACUGGCUGCUGCUACGUAUUUACCAGU